rnacentral:rRNA from 1 species
UACGGGGGGGGCAAGCGUUGUUCGGAAUUACUGGGCGUAAAGGGCUCGUAGGCGGCCAACUAAGUCAGACGUGAAAUCCCCAGGCUCAACCUGGGAACUGCGUCUGAUACUGGAUGACUUGAAUUCGGGAGAGGGAUGCAGAAUUCCAGGUGUAGCGGUGAAAUGCGUAGAUAUCUGGAGGAAUACCGGUGGCGAAGGCGGCAUCCUGGACCGACAUUGACGCUGAGGAGCGAAAGCUAGGGGAGCAAACGGG